AACGAACGCUGGCGGCAGGCUUAACACAUGCAAGUCGAACGCAUCCUUCGGGGUGAGUGGCAGACGGGUGAGUAACGCGUGGGAACGUGCCCUUCAGUUCGGGAUAACCCAGGGAAACUUGGGCUAAUACCGGAUACGUGCGAGAGCAGAAAGAUUUAUCGCUGAAGGAUCGGCCCGCGUCUGAUUAGCUAGUUGGUGAGGUAAUGGCUCACCAAGGCGACGAUCAGUAGCUGGUCUGAGAGGAUGAUCAGCCACAUUGGGACUGAGACACGGCCCAAACUCCUACGGGAGGCAGCAGUGGGGAAUAUUGGACAAUGGGCGCAAGCCUGAUCCAGCCAUGCCGCGUGAGUGAUGAAGGCCUUAGGGUUGUAAAGCUCUUUCGUCCGGGACGAUAAUGACGGUACCGGAAGAAGAAGCCCCGGCUAACUUCGUGCCAGCCGCCGCCGUAAUAC
rnacentral:rRNA from 1 species